GUCACAGUGGCUUAGUGGUUAGUGCUGUUUCCUCACACCUCUGUGGUUGGGGGUUUGAAUCCCGCCUCUGCCC